GUUGAAACACCGGUUUUCGUUCGAUCACCGAAGUUAAGCAACGUUGAUCCUGGUCAGUACUCAGAUGGGCGACCGCUUGAAAAUGCCU